rnacentral:rRNA from 1 species
UACGUAGGGUGCAAGCGUUGUCCGGAAUUAUUGGGCGUAAAGGGCUCGUAGGCGGUCCGUCACGUCGGCUGUGAAAACCCGGGGCUCAACCCCGGGCCUGCAGUCGAUACGGGCGGACUAGAGUUCGGCAGGGGAGACUGGAAUUCCUGGUGUAGCGGUGAAAUGCGCAGAUAUCAGGAGGAACACCGGUGGCGAAGGCGGCCAGCUGGGCCGUCCCUGACGCUGAGGCGCGAAGGCGUGGGGAGCGAACGGG